rnacentral:lncRNA from 1 species
AUGGAAAUCUAUCAGCACCGUCAUUUCUCAUCAACAUUGAGAAGUGUUUUACAUCAGACCGUUAUGCAAUCUUCUCCAACUAGACUGCCUUUCACCUUCAUCUAUGCUAAGCCAAGGUCCUCCCAGCCAAAAGAAACGAAAAACAUCACCUCCUCCAGGAAGACUUUCUUUCUUUGCUAUUUCAAGUCUUCUAAAUUGCAGUUACAAGUUCAGAAUUCUGUGCUGCAUUCCUUUGGGUCUUAGAAGAACAUCCACCCUGAGAAGGAAGUAACCUAGCAGAGGUUAAGUGAAGGUGUUUGAUACUCACUUGGUAUUCACGUAGGAGACAGUAGAUUACAUGACUUAGUGCUUGCAAAGCAAUUAGAAUACUGCCUUGAGUCCAGUGAGCUUUAGAUAAGUGUCUGUUAAACAGAAACAAAAUAAAUGUAGUGGAAAGCUGCUAUUUUUGCUUCCC